GUCUUUUUGAAUUUAAAUAUAAAGUCUGAUCUGCCCAUUGAUAAAUUAUUAAAAGGCCGCAGUAUAUUAACUGUGCAAAGGUAGCAUAAUCAUUAGUCUUUUAAUUGAAGGCUGGAAUGAAUGGUUGGACGAAAUAUAAGCUGUUUUAUUUAAAUUUAAAUAAAAUUUUAUUUUUUAGUUAAAAAGCUAAAAUUUAAUUAAAAGACGAGAAGACCCUAUAGAUCUUUAUAUAUUUUUUAAUUUGGAGUUUUUAGAAUAAUUUAUUUUAUAUUAUUAAAAUAUUUUGUUGGGGAGACAUUAAGAUAUAACUAACUCUUAUAUUUAUUUAACAAUUGUUUUUGUUUUAUUUGAUCCAUUAAUAUUGAUUAUAAAAUUAAGUUACCUUAGGGAUAACAGCGUAAUUUUUUUGGAGAGUUCAUAUCGAUAAAAAAGUUUGCGACCUCGAUGUUGGAUUAAGGUUAAUAAUUAGGUGCAGAAUUUUAAUUAUUAAGUCUGUUCGACUUUUUAUCCUUACA
rnacentral:rRNA from 1 species